UCAGGUGGAGUUGUAGUCGCUGUGCUUUUUUUGCACAGAGGAAAGUCCGGACUCCAAGAGAAGAUGGUGGCAGGUAACUCCUGCCGGGGGUAACUCUAGGUUAGGGCCACAGAAAACUACCGCCCCGUAAAGGGGUAAGGGUGAAAAGGUGCGGUAAGAGCGCACCGUACUCGUGGUAACACGCAGUAGCAAGGUAACCACUACCAGGAGCAAGGCUAAGAAGGGCAUUAUGGCUUCUCUCAUUUGUUGCCCGGGUAAGCCGCAUGAGGCAUGCAGCGAUGCAUAUCCCAGAUGAAUGACUACAUAACACAGAAUCCGGCUUAUCUCCACCUGACAUC
rnacentral:RNase_P_RNA from 18 species